CACCAUGCCAAAGCAGGCAGAUGUCACUGGUGAUGUCAUAUCGCAACCCUCAAGAGUGGUACUGAUACUUCACGAAGGUCAAAGUUGCAUGAUAAACUUCCGGACAGAGCCAGGACUGAAACACAGCAUCCCUUGAGUUCCCAGGGUGUUUUCCCCACAGCCUGGCCUGUGGAUACUGGGCUGUCAGGCUGAUUCUGCUUUUGUGGGCUCAACAGCCCUUCCACUGAUGGUUUCCUUAUGUAUGGCCCAGGCCUGGCAAAUGCAGUUACUGGUGACAUCGUGCCCAGGGCUGAACUUAUUUACAGUAACUACCCCCACUUCUCCAGUAAGGCACUCCUGGGUAAUUGAGUGGACCAGGCAGGAAUUAGAUCUGGGCCCAUGAUCUAUAACAGCCUGCCUGGAGCUUAAUCUUUGUCAAUUAUUUCGAGCUAUCGUGAGUCUGCUUUGAGAGGCAACCGUGUGGCUUUCAGAAGACCAACACCAGGGGCAGCUUCACAUCCAUUCAGAAGAUGACCACGGAGCAGUGCUGCCUAUCACCCCAAAGCAAGAACCACCUUGGGUGGUCUCAGAUGUUAUUUACAUAAGCUCAGCAUGCCCUUCACCUGCAACUUGACCUAUGAGCCCUGUUCUUCCCAGGAAAGGCCCCUUUUCUCUUCACAGCAGGAUACAUCUAUGUAGAUGGAUACAUCAUUACUCCCAAAUGUUUCCAUGUAUCCUCUGCUUCUGUGACCACAUCCUGCACAGGGGACCGUGCCUGGCUCAUCUCUCUGUCAGGCACAUAUUACCCAGUGCCCAGCACAGAGGACCCUGUCAAACUGGAAUCCAGAGAAAGACAACAAAGUCAGCCACCUGGGUUCCCUUAGCCCCAUUUCCUAUGUCACUCUGACUCUGUGUAACUUUGUCCUGUCUGAAAUGGUGGG
rnacentral:lncRNA from 1 species